ensembl:lncRNA
AUGCCAUCGCCUCCUCCCCACCGGGAGACUGAGCAAGGGCGGGACCCCCUGGGGGGGCACCGUGGGUGGCCAGCAGAGCCCACCCCACACAGUCCACUGCCCUGCACAUUACAGCUCCGUCUCCUGCUGUGGAGGAGAGAGAGGUUGGGAUGGCGACCGCCCGGGCCGGACAGGGGUCGGCCCUCCCGUGGGCCCUGCAGCCAGGCCUCCUGUCUCCCUGAGGCCCUGCGGGGCAGCCCACGGCCCCGGAACGCGGCCGCCUCCUCCCUCCAGGGGCGCAGGCCCCGCCCCCGCCAGCCUUGCCCCAACCUCAGAAGCUGCUCCGGCACCUGGCAGCCCAGAGAUGUCAGACCUGAGCCGGGUCACGCAGCCUGGCACUGGAGCCGCUGUGUGGGCCGGAGACAGGCGCCCGCCCCAGGGCGGGGUUGCCCUGACAAGCAGCACACACGUGUGCAACCGCAGAGCACUGGCACCGGCCCCGGAGCCGGCAGCAAGGAGGCAGCUGACGGACGGCCACGAGGGGGCGGGCCGCGCGUCCCCCUGCCCACAUCCGCCCACACAGCUGUCCCAUCGGGGCAGGUGACAGCCUCCACCCUGGAUCAGCUGAGGGCAUCAGGCUGGCCUGCGGGGUGGGGUGGGCGCAGGGCCAACCCUGGCCAGCUCUGUCCAGGGCCUGGAUUCCAGGGCAGCUGGGAGGAGCUCCUGGCACGGGCCCCCUGGGGUGGGCAGGGUGGCCGCUGGGCCCUCGGCCCCUGGGGGCCGGGGGAGGGGUCGUUCCCAGCAUGCACCUCCUGCCAGGCUGCCCCUCGCUCCCAGCCCGCAGAGCCCCCUGCCCUGCCCCCUGGCCCCAGGCCUGUGGACCGGGGUGGCCUCGGAGCUGGUGAUAGCAGCGGUGUCUGCCCGGCACCCGCAGCCUCGGAGCCGGGAGCCGGAGCCCAAGGCUCGGCCGCCUGCCUGCCGCGGGGACGGCGCUCCAGGAGCAGCUCCCAGCGGGGCCCUGAGGAACAGGGUCCAGGGUCUCCAGGCCUGCACUGGCUGAGACCUGCAAAGGAGGCAGGACCCCAGCGUCUGCCACCAGGUGAGCACACCCUGACCCUGGCCACCUGCGCUGGGGCCUCCAGGACCCUUGGCCCAAACAGGCCAUCCCACAGAGCAGGGACCCGCGGCCCAUGUAGGCCAUGCAAAGGAGAGGGCAAAGGCUCUCCCGGGCCCUGGGCGGCCCCCUCUCGCCCUGGCGUGGGCAGCAGGCAUGGAAGUGGGCAGGGCCGGGCGGGGUCCCCAGGUGAGGCAGGGCAUGGAGGCCGGGGUGUCGGCCAGCCCCCGGCUCCCGCUCAGCCCCGUGGCCUUGGCUGUGCCCACGCUGAGCCCACCUCCUCCUUCGGGGGGGGCGGAAUGGCGACUUCCACACAAGACUCGGGGUCGCUGGGGGUCACCGCAGUGGCCCCCACCCUGGCUGGCCUGGAAGCUCCUCCCACCAGGGCCCAGGGAGCUCCGAGCAUUUUGCGGACGGAGAACGUGACUUGAGGCAGCUGUGAGAACGUCCUUGGGCUGUGUGCUCUCGUUGUAAACCAUCAGGAAGACUGCCAGCGCGCCCUGUCUCUGAGCUCUGACGGUGCUGUUUUUAGCAGGCGUUUCGCACAAGGGCCCAGUGAGCCGGAAGCUCGGGUGGACGAGGUGGGACUCCCGUCCGAUGGGGGUGCACGGUGCUCACGGCUCACAACAGGUGCAGGCAGCAGCUGCGGUGCCCCGGCCAUGCUGCCGGCACGGUCACAACCGAGCUCGCCGCUGCUCCAGCUCCAAGGGCCCAUGACAGCCCCUGGGCCAGCGCCACAGGAAAGGGGGCCUUCCGCUCUCCUGGGGGGCAAACAGGCCCCAGGACCUUGUGAGCCUCAGGACGUCCAGCCAAGGGCCGGUGCAGACGCACCCCUGGGGCUACCACUGAAGGCCCCCAGAGGUCACCUCGGGGCCUGGGCCACAGGGUCUGAGGGGGCCACGCGCUGGGAGCUGGUGCUCGUGGCCGCCCCUACCACGUGGGCUGGGCUGCGGCUCUGGGACACCCUGCUCGCCGUAGGGUGAGGCGGGGGUGUCGGGGUGUGUGUUGGGCUUGGCCGCCUGCAGCAGGAGUCGGGCCUGCGUCAGGCCAGGGGGACGGAUACAUCUCUUCCUGGCCUCCACCCGCCAACGGCACCCCAGUCAUGUCCCACUUCUGCGCGGGGCCUUCACGCCUGCUGUUCCCGCUGCCUCACUUGACUUUUCGGGAACCUGACAAGCUCUUACUCACCCUUGGAGACACGCCUGGCCGAACCUUGAUUGGGGAGUUUAGUUUGCCUGACUCUGAGCCUCUCUGAGCGCAGUCCCCUGCCCCACAGGUCCGUGGUGCCUCGUCCUGGCCUCCUCUCGCUUCGACCCUGCUGGGAGGGCAGCAGCUGGCGCAGGAACGAGGGUAGAACCACAACUGGUGUGGCUCCUUCCCCCAGGCCUGCCCCAACCCGGGGCCCCCACAGAGGGGCGGCUGCCCGAGGGCUCAGAGACCAGGGGAGCAGGAGGUGGGCGGCCAGGCUGACCUGGUGCCAGACACACAAGAUCCCAGCAGGAUCUUCCCAAGCCGCAGACGGGAAAGCUGCGGGAAGCAAGAGAACCCGCUGCAGGUCCCAGGCACGGGGGGUCAGGCCCACACCCUGUCCUGGCCCCGCGUGCCAGCACCAAGCUGGGGACCCACAGGAUCGCCCUUGGCCCCGCCGCACACCUACAGGCACCCUGGCGCCCCGACCUCUCAGCUGCGUCUGCCCACACCCGGCCAGGCUGGGUCAGGGGCAGGUCAGGUGCCUUGCAAAAGGCUGAGGGAGGAGCCGUGCUCCACGGGGAGGAGGAAGCUGUGGCGUAAGCUGGGUCCAGAUCCUUGCCAACGGCAGAAUAAAAACAGGAGUGAGAGGGCGACGCCCGUAGGG